rnacentral:rRNA from 1 species
UGAGGAAUUUUGCGCAAUGGGGGAAACCCUGACGCAGCAACGCCGCGUGGGCGAUGAAGGCCUUCGGGUCGUAAAGCCCUGUCGGGCGGGAAGAACGCUCUUGGUCGAAGGACUGGGGGGUGACAGUACCGCCAGAGGAAGCACCGGCUAACUCCGUGCCAGCAGCCGCGGUAAUACGGAAGGUGCAAGCGUUAGUCGGAAUUACUGGGCGUAAAGGGUGCGUAGGCGGUUACAUAAGUCGGGCGUGAAAUUCCGGGGCUUAACCUCGGAGCUGCAUUCGAUACUGUGUGACUAGAGGAAUGGCGGAGAAAAUGGAAUUCCAUAUGUAGCGGUGAAAUGCGUAGAUAUAUGGAAGAACACCUGUGGCGAAAGCGGUUUUCUAGCCUCCUCCUGACGCUGAGGCACGAAAGCAAGGGGAGCAAACA